rnacentral:lncRNA from 10 species
CACCAAUCCGCGCAGGGCAGCGAGGAGGAGCCACAGGGCUGAGCUCGGUUGCGGCGCAGCCCCGCCGCAGUGCGCAAAGCCAUAUUCGCGAAGUCUCUGAGGCUGAGCCAGUGGCGUAAGGGGCGCCGAGCGCUGUCGAGAUGAGGGUUGCGUGCGUAAAGCCGGAGAGCCCUUUUGAGUCUGCGUUGGCGUGGCUGCUGCUUCUUGCUCCAGUCCCUUUGUUCACUGAGUCCAUAUGCCAUGCUCCAGUUGUAUCAUCCCCUUUUCCCUCGACCUCGUUUUCUCACCGGGAAUAUGGGAAGAAAACGCACCCUUACCUCCCCCGAACCCUGUUCACCAUAAGAAAUAGGAUUAAGCUUUUCAAAGCCGGCAAGUUGAACUAUUUAUACUUACCAGAGACAAGGCCUUGCUCUGUUACACAGGCUGGAGUGCAGUGGUGUGAUCAUAGCUCACUACAACCUUGAACUCCUGGGCUCAAAGAAUCCUCCGGCCUCAGCCUCCCAAGUAGCUAGGACUACAGGCACAUAUUACCAUGCCUGACUACUUUUAAAACUUUUUUUUUCCUAAGAGAUAGGGUCUAGCUAUGUUGCCCAGGUUAGUCUUGAACUCCUCACCUCAGCCUCCCAAAGUGCUGGGAUUACAGGUGUAAUCCCACCACACCCAGCCCCAUAUCUGUUUUUUAAACUUUUUUUCCAGUGAUCUUUCCUUGACUUUAUACUUUCUCUCUUAAUAGAGCACAGAGUGAGCAGAAGUAAACAAAAUAGACACUAGAAAAACACAGAAAAGAUCAAUGAAACUAAGUGGUGGCUUUUAUAAAAGCUAAAAAAAUCAAUAAACCUUUAACUAGACUAGCAGAGAAAAAGAGAAGACGUGAAUAAAAUCAGAAAUGAGAAAGGAGACAUUACAAUUGAUACAACAGAAAUAGAAAAGAUCAUGAGGCUACUCUGAACAAUUAUAACCAACAAAUUGGAUUAACUAGAAGAAAUGGAUAAUUUCCUUGACACAUAAAACCUACCAAAAUUGAAUUAUGGAGAGAAAGAAAAUCUGAAUUGACCAAUAACAGGUAGGAGACUGAAUCAGUAGUAAAAAGUCUCUCAUCAAAGAAAAGCCCAGGACCACAUGGUUGCACUGGUGAAUGCUACCAAACAUUUAGAGAAUAUUCCUUGUUUGAAUAUUUUUGAUUAGUGAUUCAAACUGCUUACUCAUUAUUGGUCUAUUCAGAUUUUCUAUUUUUCAUGGUUCAGUCUUCCUAGGUUGUAUGUGUCUAGGAACUUAACCAUUUCUUCUAGGUUAUCCAGUUUGCUGGCAUGUAAUUGUUCAUAGUAGUCUCUUAAGAUCCUUUGUGUUUCUGUGGUACCCAUUGUAAUGUCUCCUCUUUCAUUUAUAGUUAUUUGAGUCUCCUGUCUUUCUUAGCCUAGAUAAUGCUUUGUCAAUUUUCGUUUUUUAAAAAAAAUUUAGUUCACUGAUCUUUUCUUUUGUUUUUCUAGUCUCUAUUUCACUUGUGCUCUAAUCUGUAUUAUUUCCUUACCUCUGCAAACUUAGUUUGUUCUUGUUUAUCUAGUUCCUUCAGAUGGAAAGUUAUUUAUUUAAGAUCUUUCUUUUUCUUAAUUAGGUAUUUAUUGCUGUCACUUUCCCUCUUGAACUCCUUUUGCUGCAUCUCAUAAAUGUGUGUGUGUGUGUGUGUGUGUGUGUGUGUGUGUGUGUGUGUGUGUGAUAGAUCUCACUCUUUUGCCCAGGCUUGAGUGCAGUGGUGUGAUCUUGGCUCACUGCAACCUCCGCCUCCCAGGUUCAAGCAAUUCUCCCACCUCAGCCUCCCAAGUAGCUGGGACUACAGGUGCCUGCCAUCACGCCCGGCUACUUUUUGUAUUUUUAGUAGAGAUGGGGGUUUCACCAUGUUGGCCAGGCUAGUCUUGAACUCCUGACCUCGAGUGAUGUGCCAGCCUUGGCCUCCCAAAAUGCUGAGAUUACAGGCAUGAGCCACUGCACCUAGCCACAUCCCAUAAAUUUCGGUAUGUUGUGUUUCCAUUUUCAUUUGUCUUAAGAUAUUUCUGAUUUCUUCUUUGACCCAUUGGUUGUUCAGGAGUGUUAAUUCCACAUACUUGCAAAUUUUCCAAGUUUUCUCCUGUUAAUUAUUUCCAGUUUCAUACCAGUGUGUGAAACCUUUCCUUGAUGUAGUAAUAGAUAUAAAUACACACAUAUGUAUAGGUUUCCAUCUAUGAUUCCUGGCUCAUAACUCCCAGAGUCCUUGUUACAGUCUUUUGUUACAAUGUUGGUAUGUUAGGCCUCUCUGACUUUCUCCAGUGUUCCUUUCACCUGCCCCAAGGCAGGUCUGUAAUCUGAUUGUGGGUCAUAAGACCACCAUUCCAGAGAGGGUCCCAUCCCAUACCCUGGGGGAAGGAAUGCUAACGUCACGAAGCUUCUAUAAAAAGCCAGGAUGACUGGAUUUAGAGAGCUUCUGGAUAGCUGAACACAUGCAAGUUCCUGGAGGGCAGCUCGCCCAGGGAGGGCAUGGGAGUUCUGUGCCCCUUCCCCCAUACCUCACCCUGAGCAUCUCUUCAUCUGUAUCCUUUGUAAUAAAAUAAAUUGGUAAACAUGUUUCCCUGAGUUCUGUGAGUCACUAUAGCCAAUUAAUUGAACCCCAAGAGGGAUUGUGGGAACCCCAACUUGAAGCCAGUUGUCAGAAGUUCCAGAGGCCCCAGACCUGUGACUGGUGUCUAGCAGUGUUGGGAGAGGGAAAGAGGACAAUCUUUGGGGGGCUGAGCCCUUACCCUGUGGGAUCAGACACUAUUUCCAGGUAGAUAGUGUUGG